AUAAGUUGUUCCAUUUUCCUUUUUCACCCAGUGAAGAGGAAAAGAACUCACACGGUUACGUGUUGUAAACUGUCAAAGUGGAAUGUUUACGUUUAGCUCUGGACUACUAUUCAGCUUUUUGUUGGUUCGCGAAGUAGUGAAAAAGGGGCCUGCUAGGAUUGAUAAAAUUGACACUGGACGAACGACUUGUCAAAAUGGGGUGCGCAUUUGAGAACGCAGCCACCAACAAAAAGCUGAAUUAAUUUUUCUAACCAGUUCAAAUAUUAUGGAAUUUUACGACUGUAACUGUUUCAUUUGCUAAAAAUUUCCGUGGUACCUGUUACUCAGCAAGAUUAUUAUGGUUCAUUUAACGAUUCGUAAUCCAUUGGCCGGUUGGAAGGUCAAUCUGCUGCGUAGGAAAUUUCACACAAAGGAGUUAGUUAUUCUUUUAGGGUUUUGGCCAUAUUAGCCCGCACUUCGCUUUUCCCAUACUCGCGUGUUGGUUAUGCGAGCUGGUUUCAUAACUGGAGGAAAUAUCACAAGGGAUGCAGACCGUCUUCUUCGGCAAUCAUCCGCUACUGUGACGAUUCAACUUAUUGUCAACAAAUAACCGUCACCUAUCACAAACAACGACUAAAUGUUCUAAAUGGUUCGAACCACAUAUUGCAUUCAGAACGAUUGGCCUACCAAACUCCGCUUCUUAGCGUGUUGGUCCAAUACAGAACGGUGGCUUUCUGGGAGAUUAUAAAAGUUACCAUCAACCCAGGCAACCAUAUUUGAGACCGUCCAGAAAUACCG